UUUCAAGAAGGUGUUGUUGUGGAAUGUGAAGAUGACAAAUUUCAGUUGGCAAGUUUUGAAGCUGUGUUCAAUGAUAUUGAUGAUUCGAAGUUUGAUAACUUUUUCUCAUCUCUACUUGAAAUGGAAGACCUUAAGAAGAAGUUCAAAGAUGAUUGGGAUAAAAAAACUGAACCGCAAGGCAAAGCAAGGGUUGUUUGUGAUGAAGAUUUAACUUUAAAGGACAAAAGCAAGUUUGAGACGGAUCUGGACAAAUUUUUGAUACCCAAGAACAAGUCCCA